rnacentral:rRNA from 1 species
AGAGUUUGAUCCUGGCUCAGGACGAAUGCUGGCGGCGUGCCUAAUACAUGCAAGUCGAGCGGAACUUUAAUUGGUGCUUGCACCAAUUAAAGUUUAGCGGCGGACGGGUGAAUAACACGUGGGUAACCUGCCCUACAGACUGGGAUAACUUCGGGAAACCGAGGCUAAUACCGGAUAAUACUUUUUAACACAUGUUAGAAAGUUGAAAGAUGGUUCUGCUAUCACUGUAGGAUGGACCCGCGGCGCAUUAGCUAGUUGGUGAGGUAACGGCUCACCAAGGCAACGAUGCGUAGCCGACCUGAGAGGGUGAUCGGCCACACUGGGACUGAGACACGGCCCAGACUCCUACGGGAGGCAGCAGUAGGGAAUCUUCCACAAUGGGCGAAAGCCUGAUGGAGCAACGCCGCGUGAGUGAAGAAGGAUUUCGGUUCGUAAAACUCUGCUGCAAGGGAAGAACAAGUAGCGUAGUAACUGGCGCUACCUUGACGGUACCUUGUUAGAAAGCCACGGCUAACUACGUGCCAGCAGCCGCGGUAAUACGUAGGUGGCAAGCGUUGUCCGGAAUUAUUGGGCGUAAAGCGCGCGCAGGUGGUUCCUUAAGUCUGAUGUGAAAGCCCACGGCUCAACCGUGGAGGGUCAUUGGAAACUGGGGAACUUGAGUGCAGAAGAGGAUAGUGGAAUUCCAAGUGUAGCGGUGAAAUGCGUAGAGAUUUGGAGGAACACCAGUGGCGAAGGCGACUAUCUGGUCUGUAACUGACACUGAGGCGCGAAAGCGUGGGGAGCAUACAGGAUUAGAUACCCUGGUAGUCCACGCCGUAAAC